UAUACAUCUAUUCUCCCAGCAGACACGCAGGCUGCUAAAGACAGGGAAACGCGGCCUAUGAACUACUUGGUGCCCAGCAAAUUGAUGUUCUCAAGGAUCUGCUCUGCUCAGCCCUUACUGUAGAUCAACAAUUUGCUCUUUUUCUCAUUUCAGGUCUUCCCUCCCCUCACAGCUGCUCCUAUCUCCUCAAGCCUCUUGGAACAUCAUACAGAGAAUCCUGCCUCCUGCUGCACAGAGUCCUUCAGGUGAUGCUUUCUUGGCCAGGACCUCAGACCGCACAGUUAUCAAAAUGAAACCAAGUAAAAAUGGACGGUGUGCAGAGGAAGGUCUUGGGGCUGCCAGGCUUGCUUUCUAUGUUGAACAUAAGACAUCUCUGCAUGAGACUCGCAGGCAUGAUGCACAUGUGGGAGAUUUGAUUCUCCUCUCUCUGCAAGCCCUUUUAUCACCCACCAAGAAAGAAAACUUCCAGGAUGCCUGAAGCCCACUUUCUACUUUCUGCUAGGAAGAGAUCUGUCUCUGGGAGACAGAUAUGCACGAGGAGAUCUGUCCCUGACUUCUACAGAGAUCCAGAAGGAAAUGCCCAGUGAGCAAAGUCAAGCCACUGUCCAGAAGUCUUCCCCUCUAUACAAACAUCCUCAUGUUAAGUUCUCACUGUUCUUCACUGCCCUCCAUCCAGAACCCUUUUCUUAUCUCCAAAGAAGAGCCCCUAAACGCACAGACACAGAAAGAGAUGCCUGCAAUAAACAGCCAGCACCGAAGCUGCCUCUCCUGAGACGCUCCAGGUGAGGGCCUGGCUUCCCUCAGCAAUCCCUGCUCCAGUGCAUCCAGCCAUCUCCUCAAAAUCUUCUUGCAAUCUCUGCUGGACAGGUAUGGGCAGGCCGAGCAGAGGGGAAGGAGACACAGUGCUGAAUCCCACGUGAAGCUGCCACAGCAGAGAUCUGGGAGAAGGCAGGGGGCACGCUCACCCAGGGACAGGAAAUGAAGAGGAGGGCAUGGCCCCCUGCCCUGCAGCCAUGGGAAGAAGAGGUGGCAGGGGAGACUUAGCAACAGGAACUACACGGAUGGCUCACUCGGGUUACAGCCAGGACUGCAAGUGGAAUGCCCCAGGAACACGGAUGUCCCCUUCUGCCUCAGCAUUUAGACUGCGACACAGGAUUCAGGAAUCAAACUUCAGCGUGAGGGGGUGUUUUCCUGCUGCAAAACGUGGAUGUUCUAGACACUCCCUCCUGGAGCUUGUGGCAGUUACUCCAGCUUCCUGCUCUUGGCGGAGAUGAGAGAGAACUCCUGUCCUCAUAUCAGAGAAAGGGAAGAAUCCCAGCUGUAUAACUUCUUCUCAUUCAAACCUCUAGGCCAGAAGUCUCUCUUAAAAUGAGCUCAGGAGGCCGAGCGCAGUGGCUCACGCCUGUAAUCCCAGCACUUUGGGAGGCCGAGGCGGGUGGAUCACGAGGUCAGGAGAUCAAGACCAUCAUGGCUAACACCGUGAAUCCCCAUCUCUACUAAAAAUACAAAAAAUUAGCCAGGCAUGGUGGCGGGCACCUGUAGUCCCAGCUACUCAGGAGGCUGAGGUAGGAGAAUGGAGUGAACCCGGGAGGCGGAGCUUGCAGUGAGCUGAGAUCGCGCCAUUGCACUCUAGCCUGGGUGACAGAGCAAGACUACAUCUCAAAAACCAAACCAAAACAAAACAAAAUACAAACAAACAAUGAGCUCAGGAAAAAGUAACAGUGUCAAAGGGAAACAGGGUCCCUCUUCUUUUUUUGUAUCAAUACAGGGAAUCUUACUGAAUCAAAUAUGUGGGUAACUAAAAAAACAGUGGAUGCCAUGAGUCUAAAAUUAUCCCCAAAUAAAACAAUUAAAUGUUAAAAAAUACAUAUUUCAAAAAUUGUUGUUAUUUUGAAAUGUGAAAGAGAGACACAUUCCCUAAGAUCUGUGACCUUUGAGGAAG
rnacentral:lncRNA from 1 species